rnacentral:ncRNA from 2 species
CAAAUACAUCUGGGGAGCUUAAUGCUGAGAGGGAUUUUAUCCGACCCAUAUGACCUGAUACAGUUAGUACUGUCGUAGGCAGAUAUUAUUUAUGUUGA